rnacentral:rRNA from 1 species
UGGGAAUAUUGCACAAUGGGCGAAAGCCUGAUGCAGCAACGCCGCGUGAGUGAUGAAGGCCUUCGGGUUGUAAAGCUCUGUCUUUUGGGACGAUAAUGACGGUACCAAAGGAGGAAGCCACGGCUAACUACGUGCCAGCAGCCGCGGUAAUACGUAGGUGGCAAGCGUUGUCCGGAUUUUACUGGGCGUAAAGGAUGCGUAGGCGGAUUUUAAGUGAGAUGUGAAAUACCCGGGCUUAACUUGGGUGCUGCAUUUCAAACUGGGAAUCUAGAGUGCGGGAGAGGAGAAUGGAAUUUCCUAGUGUAGCGGUGAAAUGCGUAGAGAUUAGGAAGAACACCAGUGGCGAAGGCGAUUCUCUGGACCGUAACUGACGCUGAGGCAUGAAAGCGUGGGUAGCAAACAGGAUUAGAUACCCUGGUAGUCCACGCCGUAAACGAUGAGUACUAGGUGUAGGAGGUAUCGACCCCUUCUGUGCCGCAGUUAACACAAUAAGUACUCCGCCUGGGAAGUACGAUCGCAAGAUU